AAGUCGUAACAAGGUUUCCGUAGGUGAACCUGCGGAAGGAUCAUUAGCUUAAGAGAGGUCGGGUGCGCGACGUGUGCGAAAGCAUGCGUGCGCCCCGAUAUACUCUACACCGUGUGAACGUGGAAUGCGUAUCCUGCUGUUGUGUUGGUGCUCGUGCGGCGGCGCGAGUCGUCGUCGGGCAUCAGCAUGCAGCACUAAACCUUUGUAACAACCAUGCUAACACUCGAAAAACAAUUUAAUCUAUACACAACUUUUAACAAUGGAUCUCUAGGCUCCU
rnacentral:misc_RNA from 1 species